rnacentral:rRNA from 1 species
GGUGGGGUAACGGCCUACCAAGGCGACGAUACGUAGCCGACCUGAGAGGGUGAUCGGCCACACUGGAACUGAGACACGGUCCAGACUCCUACGGGAGGCAGCAGUAGGGAAUCUUCCGCAAUGGGCGAAAGCCUGACGGAGCAACGCCGCGUGAGUGAUGAAGGUCUUCGGAUCGUAAAGCUCUGUUGUUAGGGAAGAACAAAUGUGUAAGUAACUGUGCACAUCUUGACGGUACCUAACCAGAAAGCCACGGCUAACUACGUGCCAGCAGCCGCGGUAAUACGUAGGUGGCAAGCGUUAUCCGGAAUUAUUGGGCGUAAAGCGCGCGUAGGCGGUUUUUUAAGUCUGAUGUGAAAGCCCACGGCUCAACCGUGGAGGGUCAUUGGAAACUGGAAAACUUGAGUGCAGAAGAGGAAAGUGGAAUUCCAUGUGUAGCGGUGAAAUGCGCAGAGAUAUGGAGGAACACCAGUGG